rnacentral:rRNA from 1 species
AUGGCCCGUGUUGUUCCAUUGAAUUUUAAUGCGUUCCUUGAGAAUGCAAAGUUGAAAGAUGAUGGUAGCAAUUACACGGACUGGGUCCAUAACUUGAGGAUUAUCCUCAUUGCUGCACAGAAGAAUUACGUCCUGGAAGCACCGCUAAGUGCUAGACCUGUUGCAGGAGCAACACCAGAUGUUAAGAACGUCUGGCAGAGCAAAGCUGAUGACUACUCGAUAGUUCAGUGUGCCAUGCUUUACGGCUUAGAAUCGGGACUUCAACGACGUUUUGAACGUCAUGGAGCAUAUGAGAUGUUCCAGGAGUUGAAGUUAAUAUUUGAAGCAAAUGCCCGGAUUGAGAAAUAUGAAGUCUCCAAUAAGUUCUACAACUGUAAGAUGGAGGAGAAUUGUUCUGUCAGUGAGCAUAUACUCAAAAUGUCUGGGUAUAACAAUCACUUGAUUCAACCGGGAGUUAAUCUUCUGAAUGAUAGCGUCAUUGACAGAAUUCUUCAAUCACUGCCACCAAUCUACAAGAGCUUCGUGAUGAACUAUAACAUGCAAGGGACGGAUAAGACGAUUCCCGAGCUCUUCGCAAUGCUAAAGGCUGCGGAGGUAGAAAUCAAGAAGGAGUAUCAAGUGUUGAUGGUCAACAAGACCACCAGUUUCAAGAAAAGGGCAAAGGGAAGAAGAAGGGGAACUUCAAGAAGAACAGCAAACAAGUUGCUGCUCAGGAGAAGAAACCCAAGUCUGGACCUAAGCCUGAGACUGAGUGCUUCUACUGCAAACAGACUGGUCACUGGAAGCGGAACUGCCCCAAGUAUUUGGCGGAUAAGAAGGAUGGCAAGGUGA